GACGAACCGAGCGAACGUUAUUCGGAAUCACUGGGCUUAAAGGGCGCGUAGGCGGGCCAUCAAGUCAGGGGUGAAAGCCCCCAGCUCAACUGGGGAAGUGCCUCUGAUACUGAUGGUCUCGAGGGAGAUAGGGGCGUGCGGAACUUCCGGUGGAGCGGUGAAAUGCGUAGAUAUCAGGAGGAACACCGGUGGCGAAGGCGGUUCUCUGGGCAUGUUCUGACGCUGAGGAGCGAAAGUGUGGGGAGCGAACAGG
rnacentral:rRNA from 1 species